UACGUAGGGGGCGAGCGUUACCCGGAUUUACUGGGCGUAAAGCGCGUGUAGGCGGCUGGUCAAGCGUGGUGUGAAAUCUCCGGGCUCAACCCGGAAACUGCAUUGCGAACUGACCUGGCUGGAGUGCAGGAGAGGGCAGCGGAAUUCCCGGUGUAGCGGUGAAAUGCGUAGAUAUCAGGAAGAACACCCGUGGCGAAGGCGGCUCUCUGGGACGUGACUGACGCUGAGACGCGAAAGCGUGGGGAGCAAACAGG
rnacentral:rRNA from 1 species